GACGAACGCUGGCGGCGUGCUUAACACAUGCAAGUCGAACGGAAAGGCCCUGCUUUUGUGGGGUGCUCGAGUGGCGAACGGGUGAGUAACACGUGAGUAACCUGCCCUUGAUUUUGGGAUAACUUCAGGAAACUGGGGCUAAUAUCGGAUAGGAGCCCCUGUUGCAUGGUGGGGGUUGGAAAGUUUCGGCGGUUGGGGAUGGACUCGCGGCUUAUCAGCUUGUUGGUGGGGUAGUGGCUUACCAAGGCUUUGACGGGUAGCCGGCCUGUGAGGGUGACCGGCCACAUUAGGACUGAGAGACGGCCCAGACUCCAACAGGAGACAGCAGUGGGGAAUAUUGCACAGUGGGCGGGAGCCUGAUGCAGCAGCGCCGCGUGCGGGAUGACGGCCUUCGGGUUGUAAACCGCAUUCGCCUGUGACGAAGCGUGAGUGACGGUAAUGGGUAAAGAAGCACCGGCUAACUACGUG
rnacentral:rRNA from 1 species